rnacentral:lncRNA from 1 species
CUGGACAGCUCUGCCUUCUCAAAAUUACACCCAAAAUAAUCACGGUUUGAUCCUUCUGGCAAGCUUAGUUUCCAGAUCAAGUCAGUCAACCCCACAUCCUUGGCUGAUUCACUUGCCUUUUCCUUAUCAAUCCUCUCCUCACUCCCAAAAUAUGGAUGUAUGGGCAACACCCCUUUAAUCUUUACCUCAUCACAACCCUUUUGAAUGGCCCUGAUAGCAAUAUUGUGCGCAAUGUUCCCUCCGGCGCUGUCCCCUGACAGAAACACACGAGAGAGGUCAGCUCUCUGAAGCCAUGGUUCAGAGCUCACCUGCUUACUUAGCCACUCUAGUGAGCAAUAACAAUCAUCAUAAGCUGUAGGGAGCCUGUGUUCAGGAGCAAGGCGGUAGUCCACAGAGAGGACUAUUGAUUGGGCGGCCACGGCAAAGUCUCCAAGGAAAGUGUGGUAGCCAAGCCAUGUGGCUGUGCCGAUGCAGAAACCGCCGCCAUGGAAGUAAACUAGAACUGGCAGGAGGCUAGAGGAAGCCGGAGUAUCAGGGACAAAAAUCCUCCCAGAAAUUGGUUUUGUUGAGUCAAUUAUCACAUCCUUGGACUUGUAUCCUGUGGAUGAUGAAUCUUCUGAGGCAGGGGAGGUUUCACGUUCAGGGCGUUUUACUGAACCAUCAGAGAAGAUUUGAAUGACGCCUGGCUCUUCUGCAACCAUGGACAUGGUUAUCAAAACCUUUUUAGUUGGGAUGAUCUGAAAGUGGCAAAUUUCUGUGAAAUUGCAGAGAGUUUUCUGAUGCUGUUAGAUAGGAUUGUUGUGGAUGACAAUAAUGCCGUGAAAAUUUUGGAGAAGUCUAAGAACAUUAGAGAGGUUGAUUGCACGCAAAAGCCAAUGAAUACAAACAAAAUCUGUGGAUCGAUGGAUAAGAGAAAAUAAAAUGGACUGGUGGGUGGGUGGGAAUAGGAAGGAAAGUCCAAGAAAAUUACAGAGGUUGAUGGCACACAAAGGGCGGCCGGUCUGAGGUCUUGUCUUUAUUAUCUUCAUCCGGAAAUUUUUUAAAUACGGUGUUAUUUUAAAUUAUACUCAUUUUUUUUAAUUUAAUAAAAAAAAUUAUUACGCAAAAAUACUUUGAAUCAAACCAUCUUGAUAUAAUUUUUUUUAUUUUUAAAAAUAAUUUAAAAUUUAAAAACUAAUUUAAUUAAUACUAAAUAGUUAUGAAAUUCAAUAAUAUUAAAAAGUUAUACAUUAAAUUCAUAAUUUUCCUUUUAUAUAUAAUCAUAUUUUUGUAAGUUUUUUUCACUAAGAAAACAAAUUCAAAAUCAAGUAAUGCAUAAUGUGUUGAAUUUACUAAUUAGUUUAAUGAUUUUUUAAAAAUAACUUAAAACUUAAAUGAUAAUCUAAUCAAUAUCGAAAAUUUGUGGACAAAAUUUGAUUCAAAAUGACUUUAUUAUUUUUUUAUAUAUAUAAUUUUUUUUUUGGAGUUUUUUCAAUUAACAAGACACAUACAAUUUUUUUUAAAAAUUAUUUAAAACCCCAAUUAAUAUCAUAAAUUUAUAAAUAAAAAUUAGUGUAUAAUAACUCUAUUAUUUUUUCUAUGUAGAAAUAUAUUUUUAUAAAAUUUCUCAUUUUCUCAUUAGAAAAAGGAACUUUAAAUCUAGUGAUAUUUUAUAUUGAAUUUAUUAAUGAGUUUAAUAAUUUUUAAAAAUAAUUUGGAAUUUAAACAAUGUUAAAAAGUUAAAACGUUAACCUUUGUUUAUUUUUUAAUUCAUUUUAAAUAAGAUGUUAACAUCUUAAUUCAUUUUUGUUCAUUUGUUCAUAUUAAUUAUUAUUAUUAUUUAUUUAAAAAAACCAAAAAGGAAUUAUAAUAUUAGAAAGAUGUUAAUAUCAGAAAAUAUAUUAAAAUAGGCUUUUUAUAUAAAAAGAAAUAUAAUAUCUGAUUUUAGUACAAUAUUACUAUUUAUUACUAAAAAUGAUUUAUUUUUUAAUAUAUUUGUAAUUACAAUUUUUUUUUCAUUUUAAUAAGAUUUAAAUUAAAUUUAAUAAAUAUAAUAUAAAUUAAAUUUUCGCUUUUGUGUUGAAACCCCACUUUGAAAAUGCAAUUUCGAUAUAAAAUCUAAAAUCAAAUAUUUUAAAUGCAACUUCAAUUCAAAAUUAGAAGCUAUGGGUUUGUUUGACAACAUUUUCCGAAAACAUUUUUUUAUUUUUCAAAACAAAAAAUUUUAAAAACAUGUUUUACAAAAAAGAAAACUGUUUUUUUAUUUUUUAUUCUCAAUAACAGAAAAUAUGAUAUUUUCAUAUAAUAUCAUUUAUUUGUUUUUAGUUAUUUUCACUUUUUUUUUAAGAGUUAUUUUAAAAAUACUAUAUAAACAUAUAUAAUGAUUAAAAAUAAAGUUAUGAACAUAAAAUUAUUUUUAAAACACAUUUAAAAAUAUUAAAAAUAUAUUAAAAACAUUUUAAAUUAGCUAAUAAACUUUUGUGAUACAAAACAUUAAAGAACAAUUUUCAAAAACUGUUCUUAAAAAAUAUUUUUUUAAACUGUUUUAAAAAACAUUUAACAAACAGAGUACAUAUUUUGAAAUUCAACUUCAAUGCAAAAUCAGAAAAUUAAUUAUACUCUUAAUAAAUAAUAAAUUUAAUUUAUUUUAAAAUAUCUCAAAACUAUUUCUUAUUCAUUUAAAAAAACAAAAAGGAAUUAUACUCUUACAAAGAUGUUAAUAUUCAUAAAAUAUAUUAAAAUAGGUUUUUUUAUAUAAAAAGAAAUAUAAUUUCUGAUUUUAGUAUAAUAUUACUAUUUAUUACUAAAAAUUAUUUAUUUUUUAAUACAUUUGUAAUUAAUUUUUUUUUCAUUUUAAUAAGACUUAAAUUAAAUUUAAUAAAUAUAAUACAAAUUAAAUUUGCAAUGUUUUUAUGAAAAUGAAAAUAAAAAAACUAUUUUUUGAAAAGCAAAAUACCUCAAAACAUAAGUAUAAUAUUUUCUUUUUCUUUUCACUUAGAGAAAUAUUUAUAGUUUUAUUAACUUUUAAGUUAAAAGAGAAGAAAAUCUUUAUUUGGAAAUCUCUUUUAAUUAAAAAAAAAAAAAAGGAAUUUCUCUCAGUUUGCCAGAAUAAAAUUUCUUUUGAAAUAUACUAGUUGUGUAAUCAACAUGACAUCAUCCAUUCUGCUCAAUUACAUUACUUGAAAAUGAGUUCCACUGAGAAAUUUUGAACAGAAAUACAACUUGGUAUUUGCUGCAGAUCCCAAAUCUAUGCUGACAGGAUACAUGUCUCAUAGCUAACUAGAAGAGAAGCCGAUGAAUCGUGGAUGGCCAUAUGAGAGGCUAAAAGCUGUGUAUGAACUCACUCGUUUGCUUUUGCAGCAAGCGAGUGGCCUCAGAUUUUGGAUGGAACAUAUGAUACACAUGCUGCUCUCCUUCAGCUUCCACCAGCUAAAUUAUUUGAGGUGCUGUUACCCGUGAAGCAGUAGAAGAUUAAUGGUGAUGUACAUCCCAAAUGAGCAGGAUAUGACAAUUUUGGAAAGCAGAUGAUGAAAAUUUGGCGAUGAUUCUGGGCAGAGCACCCGAGAUGCAGUGGGGAGUCACCUUACAACUUAGAUUUUAGGAUCGCUAUAAUUUCAUUAUUAGAAAUGCAUUUUGCUUGCUAUAUUUUAGAUAGAAGUACAACUUUAUGCAUACUCGUCAUGCUGACAGCAUACGUGUUUUAUUGAUCGCAAGAGGCUUGUGAUGACCAUCUAAAAGUUAUGAAUGAACUCACUCAUUUGCUUCUGAAGCAAACGAGUCGCCUCAGAUUCAGGAUGGAGCAUAUGAUACACAUGCUUCUCUCCUUCGGCUUCCACCAGCUUCACCUCCACCCCGUUCUUCUCCAGAAAGGCUGCAUACAUAACUCCCCUUUCUUUUAAGAAAUCCAAACCAGCCACAUAAACCACAGCUGGUGGAAACCGACACCAUUCAGCCCUGGACAAUUCUGCCAUCUCAUAGUUACACCAAUAAUGGUCUCGGUUUGACCCUUCUGGCAAGCUUACUUUCCACAUCCAGUCGGUUAAUGCCAAAUUCUCAGCUUCUCCACUGGCCCUCUCCUUCUCAAUCCUCUCCUCGCUCCCAAAAAAAGGAUGUAUUAGCAACAACCCUUUAAUCUUGACUUGAUCACAAGAUUGUUCCUGAAUUGUUCUGAGAGCAACAUUGUGAACGAUGUUUCCUCCAGCACUGUCCCCUGAGAGAAACACUCGAGAGAGGUCAGCUCUCUGAAGCCAUGGUUCAGAGCUCACCUGGCAACUUAGCCACUCAAGUGAACUAUAACAAUCAUCAUAAGCUAUAGGGAGCCUGUUUUCAGGUGCAUGUCGGUAGUCCACAGAAAGAACUAUUGAUUGGGAAGCCACCGCAAAGUCUCCAAGGAAAGUAUGGUACCCAAGCCAUGUCGUUGAGCCUAAACAGAAACCGCCACCAUGGAAGUAAACUAGAACUGGAAGCCGGUCAGAGGAGCCCGGAACAUCAGGCAGAAAUAUUCGUGCAGAUAUUGGCUUGGUUGAGUUAAUGAUUACAUCCUUGGACUUAUAUCCAUUGGAUGAUGAAUCAUUGGAGGCAGGGGCGCUUUCCCAUUCCACACGUUUUAUUGAACCAUCAGAAAAAACUUUGAAGUAAGCUGAUGCUUCUCCAAUAAAGGACAUUGUUCUCAAAGCUUUGGAAGGGUGAUUUGAAGGUUGAAGAUGUCUGUGAAGUUGCAAAACGUUUGUUAGGGUAGUUAUAUAGGGUUUUGGGGAUGUCAAGGAAGACUAACAUUUAUUCACGCAACCGAGGAUGUUGGAUUGGUCACUAAAAGUGAAUUUGCAGCAUGGAGGAAAUUUUCAGUCAGGACAAAUAAAUUGGCAUAGUUGACAAUGAAAGCAAGGAAAAAGUUGGAGUGAAUGCCAACAAAAUGAGUUAUGGGCGGCUAAGACAAUUAACACCAGCAAAAUGAAAAUCCAAUUGGUGCAGCCCAAGAAAAAUAUGAUGGUCUUCUUCUCCCUGUCCAAUCAAGACAAGAAUUAACUCCCUAAUUUUUUACAUUUGAUUGAAAAUACCGGAGAUAUAUUCUCUGAUUCCUUCAAUCAAAUUUGUCUACAAGGUUCAAGGCGUUAUACUAAACCAUUGGAAAAGAUUUGCAGGAAACCGACACUUCAGCAACUAUGAGCAUUGUUCUCAAAACUUUGGUGGGAUGAUUGAAAAGUCCAAGAUUUCUGUGGAAUUUCAAAGAGUUUGUGGGAAAGUUCUAUAGGAUCUUUAGGGAUGUCAAGGAAUGCUAACAACAUAUUUAAAUGACGACAUUGGGUUGAUCAUGUCAAGUGAAAUCAAGGCAUGUUUAGGAGAGGUGGGGGGGCGGCAAAAAUUUAAGGAAUGUCAGGAAAACAAGUUAGAUUGAUUGACGAAAUGAGGGAGAAACCAAAGGCUCAUUUGGCCAUGUUUUCUAAAACUUGUUUUUAAGUUAAAUAACAAAAAACAAUUUUCAGAAAACAUAGUCAAUUUAAAAAACAAGUGAAAAUAACUUCUACUUGUUCUCUAUUUCACUUUGUUUUUAAAAAUUAUUUUAAGAGAACAACAACCAAAUAAAGUUAAGAAUUUUUUAAAAAUAUUUUUAAAUCAUAUGGUCAAAUAUCCAAAUGAACAAAUGCUGGGAAAAAUGAAAGUUUAAUUAAUGUAUGCCUAAAAGAACUAAGUUGGAAAGGCUGAUUGAGAAAAGUCAGUUGGUGGCUGGUGGAUAGGAAUAGGGAGAAACAGUGAUCAACUUCUCCUCGUCUAAUAUUCAUCUAGAGGGAAAAUUUCAGUCAAGACAGAGAAAGUGAGAAAGAUGGUUAUGAAAGCAAGGGAAGUUUUAUGUGAAGAAAAAGAAAAUGACAGUUGAUUUGGAAAGGGAGGGAAAAUUUUAGUCAAGGCAAAUAAAAUACCAAGAAAAUGAGUAAUGGACUGUGGGGAAAUUUAAGAAGAACAAUAUUUGCACCAAUUCCUAAAUUUUACUUGCUAUUUAGAAAUAUGAGUACAGCUUUAUAUUUUCUGAUCUUCACUGAAAGCAUACAUGUUUUAUUGAUAAGAAGGGGCCUGUGAUGGCCAUCUAAGAUGCUAGAAGCUGUGGAUGAACUCACUCAUUUGCUUUUGCAGAAGAUGGGUAGCCUCAGAUUGAGGAUGGUACACAUGAUACACAUGUGACUGAUCUUCAGCUUCCACCAGCUUCACCUCCACCCCUUUCUUCUCCAAAAAACCUGCAUACAUAACUCCCCUUUCUUUCAAGAAAUCCAAACCAGCCACAUAUACUACCACUGCUGGAAAACGACCCCAUUCAGCACUGGAAAUUGCAGCCCUUUCAAAGUUACACCCAGAAUAGUCCCGGUUUGAUCCUUGGGGCAAGCUUAGUUUCCAUAACAAAUCGUUCAUCGCAACAUAUCCAGCUGCUUCACCUUCCCUCUCCUUCUCAGUCCUCUCCUCACUCCCAAAAUAAGGAUGUACGGGCAACAAUCCUCUAAUCUUUACAUGAUCAUAAGUUUUUUCCUGAAUUACUUUGAGAGCAACAUUGUGAGCAAUGUUCCCUCCAGCACUAUCCCCUGAGAGAAACACACGACAGAGGUCGGCUCUCUCAAGCCAUGGUUCAGAGCUGACUUGGUUACUUAGCCACUCAAGUGAACUAAAACAAUCAUCAUAAGCUAUAGGGAGCCUGUUUUCAGGCGCAAGGCGGUAGUCCACAGAAAGAACUAUAGUUUGUGAGGCCACUGCUAAGUCCCCUAGGAAAGUAUGGUACCCAAGCCAUGCGGUUGAGCCAAUGCAGAAGCCACCACCAUGGAAGUAAACUAGAACAGGA